CCCUUAGACGUUCUGGGCCGCACGCGCGCUACACUGACCAGUGCAACAAGCAUCCGUCCUUGGCCGACAGGCCCGGGCAAUCUUUGAACGCUGGUCGUGAUGGGGAUAGACUUUUGCAAUUUUUGGUCUUCAACGAGGAAUUCCUAGUAAACGCAAAUCAUCAAUUUGCAUUGAUUACGUCCCUGCCCUUUGUGCACACCGCCCGUCGCACCUACCGAUUGAAUGGUCCGGUGAAGCCUCGGGAUUGUGGCCAGUUCACUUUAUUGGGAGUUGGCUGUGAGAACUUGUCUAAACCUUAUCAUUUAGAGGAAGGUGAAGUCGUAACA
rnacentral:rRNA from 1 species